UCGACAGCCCUGGAGACAGAAGUCCCCUAUCAACAGAAAGGUUACCACAAUGAGAAAUGGUAAUUUGCAUUUCCUACAAUGACUUGCUGGUCUGCCAGAGUCCUGACCUAAAGGGACCACCUUUACGCUUGAGAAUGUAGUUUAGUUUCCACACCUCAUUCACAGCCUAGUCUUAG
ensembl:misc_RNA